UACGAGGGGGGCAAGCGUUGUUCGGAAUUAUUGGGCGUAAAGGGCGCGUAGGCGGAUGGCACAGUCAGAUGUGAAAUUCCUGGGCUUAACCUGGGGGCUGCAUUUGAUACGUGUGAUCUAGAGUGAGGAAGAGGGUUGUGGAAUUCCCAGUGUAGAGGUGAAAUUCGUAGAUAUUGGGAAGAACACCGGUGGCGAAGGCGGCGACCUGGUCCUUAACUGACGCUGAGGCGCGAAAGCGUGGGGAGCAAACAGG
rnacentral:rRNA from 1 species